rnacentral:rRNA from 1 species
UACGUAGGGUCCGAGCGUUGUCCGGAAUUACUGGGCGUAAAGAGCUCGUAGGCGGUUUGUCGCGUCUGCUGUGAAAUCCCGAGGCUCAACCUCGGGCCUGCAGUGGGUACGGGCAGACUAGAGUGCGGUAGGGGAGAUUGGAAUUCCUGGUGUAGCGGUGGAAUGCGCAGAUAUCAGGAGGAACACCGAUGGCGAAGGCAGAUCUCUGGGCCGUAACUGACGCUGAGGAGCGAAAAGCGUGGGGGAGCGAACAGG